UUUUACUUAAGUCAUGGAUUAUACCGAGUUGUGAGGAAAAUUAAAUCUUCGGAUUUAAUUUAGAUAUUAGAUGAGCAGAUGAAUUAAAUCUACGGAUUUAAUUUAGAAUUAUUUUACAGUCUUUUGACAUUAGCAAGACAAGAAAUAGAAUAUCGAGACACGAGAUUUAUUAGAAUAUACGGAUACACAGAUAGACGAUUAAAUAGCAGAAUCAAAGUUACCAUUUUUAUACAAAAUGACCAACGCUGGAAGAUUCUAUCUAUUACACCACAAUUUUUACAACCUAUCUAUUACAAUGAUCACACAAGUUCCUAGCCCACAAUUCAAAAACACCAUCUCCCAACAAAGAAAAAAAAAAGAAAGCAAAGAGGAGAAAAAAAAAAGGGAUAAGGGGCGUGUGAAUUUGCUGCUACAGCUACAGCCCCUCCCCUCCUAUUCCCUUCUCCCUACACCUCUCCUUUCCCUAUGCUAGCCGCCCACCCCAUCCAAUCCACCUCAUACUCCAGCCUGUUGAAAAUACUCAAUAACAAAGUCAAGAAAAAACCACAAGUAAAGUCAAAAGAAAUAUAUAUUGUAGGACUUUAGUACCUUAAUUAUAGGGAUUUGCAUGACUUUGAUCAUUCUUAAACCUAUAAAUUGAGUAUCAUUGUAAUACGGAAAUAUCAAGCAAUAUCAAAGAAAUACAAUUACGAUCUUUGGCUUUUCUUUCUCUAUAUUAUGAUGAUACCAUGUUUCAACACAGCCACCCAAACACAAAGCAAUCACAGGUAAUUCACAAUCUCAAAUAUCAUUUCGUAAACAUUCAUAUUAAAGCAUGGGCAUAAUCAGUUCAAUCAUAGAAGACCUUAUAGCAUCUUAAACUUAGUAAUUACGCCAACUACGCUUUUAUGAGCAAGUGACAGUUCAUAUGAAGUUUUAAACAAGCAUAAUUUGAGUUUAUGCAAAGCAAAGAAGAGAUUACACCUUAUCUUUCCUAAUUCGCAUUAAGAAUCGAUAAAAGAGAACGGUUUGACUUAGCUUUUAAGGGGGGGAGGCUGACUGCCUCGACCGGUACCGAGCCCGAACAGCGGCUACCCGGCAGCGGCGACCUCUUCCUUUCUGGAAUUAGGACAGCAUCAACGGCGUUGAUGGAGCCCGCGUCGGCAACCGAAGCCGAUCAGAGACGAUGGCGGCUGAACAACUGAGGAAGAUAAAGCUGACGCCGAUCAAUUAUGAGAGAGGUCGAGGAGAUAAACCAACUUUCAGAUUCGAGCAGCAACCGCUUGCCGACGAACGAGAGAGCCGGAGAUCGCAGCGGCGACGGCGAGUUCUGACUUUGAAAAGUUAGGGCUCGGUUCGAUUUGAUAGAUUUGGGGUAAAUCAAGAGGGAGAGGGAGAACCUAGGCGAUGAGGCGUCUAAAGUUGAGACGAGGGGAAGGAGAGGAGGCCGACGGGCUCCAGGCCGGAGCAACGCCGCUCCCAGACGGCGACCGGUCGCCCAAUUUCGAAAGGGUAGCAGCAGCAGCAGCGCUGAUUCCUUGAGAAUCAGGGCUCGAUGUUGGGGGAGGAAAGAGGACGGCGCCGGGGCUGAGACGCGUCGACAGAUGACGCCGGCCGAAGCAAGUGAUGGCUGAACGGCCGGAGGAGGCGCAGCCGGCCAGAUUUAGCCGGAGGAGAAGAGGCCGAUCGGCCUUGAGGAAGAGAGGGAGCGUCGGUUCUUGAGAGAGAGAAAAGAGAGAGAAAAG
rnacentral:lncRNA from 1 species